CUUAUGUCAUCCGGAAUCCACAAGACACCGUGCUCUUUCUCUCUCGCUCCUCUCUUUCUCUCUCCUCUCCGACUCUGUAAUCGCUCCGCUCGGCGGUGAUGGUCAUGGUGGAGCGACCCACUGAACGACGUCGCUUCGGUCUUACUCUGCAGAUUGAAUCUACAUUUACUUUAAUAGAGUAAAAUAUGGGGUGGUCUGCCUCUUAGUUGACUGAAAAAGUAAAAACAAGAUCUUUACAUUGCACGGUGAAUAGCUAUGGAUGUUGAAGUGAUUGAAGUGGAAGGUAUGAGUCAUCGGGCAAUGGCGAAUGAUGGAGAUGCCGAACCCAAUGCGAGUAGAGACACUGAUACUGCUGAAAACAUCAUAGUUCAUGAUGAUGACGAUGGAAUUGGCGAGCCUUAUUUGGGAAUGGAAUUUGAUUCUGAGGAUGCCGCCAAAAUUUUUUAUGAUGAGUAUGCAAUGCAUGUUGGUUUUAACUCUAAAGUUGCUCCAUCUAGUCGUUCAAAAUUUGAUGGGUUGAUCAAUAUUCGGGAAUUUGUAUGUGGCAAAGAUGGGGUAAAAAGAAGGCAGGCCGAUAGUUGUGAAGCAAUGCUUAAGGUAGAAUUAAAAGGUCAAGGUAAGUGGGUUGUAACAAAGUUUGUGAAGGAGCACAACCAUUCAUUGGUUAAUCCCAAUAAAGUUCAUUAUAUUCGGCCACGUAGGCAUUUUGCGGGUACUGCAAAGACUGUGGCUGAAGCUUACCAAGGGGCAGGGACUGUUCCUAGUGGCGUUAUGUUUGUAUCAAUGGAUGGAAAUCGUUCCUCUGCAGAGAGAAAUAGUGGAGUUAGGAAUAGUCCUACAGAGUUCAACCGGUCAGCAAAGAAUUCUGCAACCAUGAAUUAUGCUUUUAAUCCCUGCAAUCGGAAAAGGACGCUUGGGAGGGAUGCUCAGAAUUUGCUGGAAUAUUUCAAGAAAAUGCAGGCUGAGAACCCUGGUUUUUUCUAUGCAAUACAACUUGAUGAAGAGAAUCGCAUGACUAAUGUAUUCUGGGCAGAUGCAAGGUCAAGAACUGCUUACAGUCAUUUUGGUGAUGCAGUAACUCUGGAUACGACUUAUAGAGUAAAUCAGUACAGGGUGCCCUUUGCUCCAUUUACAGGGGUAAACCAUCAUGGUCAGACAGUUUUGUUUGGUUGUGCAUUACUUCUAGACGAGUCAGAAGCUACUUUUACAUGGCUUUUUAAGACAUUUCUUACAGCAAUGAAUGAUUGCCCACCUGCGUCUAUUACCACUGAUCAAGACAGAGCGAUGCAGACUGCAGUUGCUAAUGUUUUUCCAGAAUCUCGUCAUUGUAUUAGCAAGUGGCAUGUUUUAAGAGAAGGGCAGGAGAAGUUGGCUCAUGUUUGUCAUGCUCAUCCAAAUUUUCAAUCAGAACUCUAUAACUGUAUCAAUUUGACUGAAACUAUAGAGGAGUUUGAAUCAUCUUGGAAUUUUAUCCUUGAUAAAUAUGAUCUCAGGAGAAAUGAUUGGCUGUUGACAUUGUAUAAUGCCCGUGAUAAAUGGGUCCCUGUCUAUUUUCGAGAUUCUUUUUUUGCUGCAAUAUCUUCAAAUCCAGGAUAUGAUGGUUCCUUCUUUGAAGGUUAUGUGAAUCAACAGACAACCUUACCAAUGUUCUUUAGGCAAUAUGAAAGAGCUUUAGAAAACUGUUUUGAGAAGGAAAUAGAAGCUGAUUUUGAUACAAUUUGCAACACGCCAGUGUUGAGGACACCAUCUCCUAUGGAAAAACAGGCAGCAAAUCUGUAUACACGGAAAAUUUUCACAAAAUUUCAAGAAGAGCUAGUUGAAACUUUUGUGUACACUGCAAACAGAAUUGAGGGUGAUGGAGCUAUUAGUACUUUCAGAGUUGCUAAAUUUGAGGACGACAAUAAAGCUUAUCUUGUCACUCUGAACUAUCCUGAGAUGAAAGCUAACUGUAGUUGUCAAAUGUUUGAGUAUUCAGGCAUUCUUUGUAGACAUGUUUUGACUGUUUUCACUGUAACAAAUGUACUUACAUUGCCUUCGCCUUACAUUUUAAAACGUUGGACGAGAAAUGCAAAGAGUGGAGCUGGCUUAGAUGAACGAAGUAGUGACUCACAUGCUCAGGAGUCUCUAACAUUACGGUACAAUAAUUUAUGUCGGGAAGCCAUUAGAUAUGCUGAAGAAGGUGCUACUGCUACAGAAACUUACAAUGCAGCAAUGACUGCCCUGAGAGAUGGUGGGAAGAAAAUUGUUAUUGCUAAGAAAAAUGUUGCUAAAGUUGCACCUCCUAGUGCUCAGGUUAGUGGGACUAGUUAUGAUGAUAGGAGAAAUUCUACUUUAACUUCAGAUUCAACUCCAUUGUUAUGGCCACGCCAUGACGAAGUGUUAAGACGAUUUAAUCUUAAUGAUGCUGGUGCUCCUGUGCAAACUGUUGCUGAUUUGAAUUUGCCACGCAUGGCCCCAGUUUCUCUUCACAGAGAUGAUGGUACUCCUGAAAAUAUGGUUGUACUUCCUUGUCUAAAGUCAAUGACUUGGGUGAUGGAAAAUAAGAAUUCAACACCAGGGAAUAGAGUUGCUGUCAUUAACCUGAAGUUGCAAGAUUAUAGCAGAACUCCAUCAGCAGAGUCAGAGGUUAAGUUUCAACUUUCAAGAGUAUCAUUAGAACCCAUGCUGAGGUCUAUGGCCUACAUAAGUGAACAGCUAUCAACGCCAGCUAAUAAGGUUGCUGUCAUCAAUUUGAAGUUUUCUUGAGUGGGUGGGAUUAUGGAAGCAAGGAAUUUUAUACCAGCUUCAAGACACUGAAACAACUUCAGGGGAGUCGGAGGUUAAAUUUCAGGUGUCCAAGGAUACAUUAGGUGCCAUGCUGAGAUCAAUGGCCUAUAUUCGUGAGCAGCUCUCAAAUCCUGCUGACAUACCUCCAGAACCACUACUGAAGAAGCAGAGGAAGUGACUACAUUGUAAUUGUUUGCCUCCGAUAUAGAAUCUGGCCCGAUCACCCCAGUGUAUGUGACCACGUAACUCUUUUGGAGACAAAAAUGUUCUGAUCAGGUUGGGGAUGCUCAUGUACCGUCAUCUUUAUAUUGGGUAGCUGGUAGCCGCUCCUUUCCUUUCACAGUAAGCCUUUUUUUAGCAUAUUUGUACAUGUAGCGUAUCAAACUUGAGGAACCAAAGCAUGACAGAGAUUUCAUAGUUGGUAAUAUGGCACAGAUUUGAAUGAAAGCCCAGAAUUAGACAUUGCCUUAAAAAAGUAGCAGGGUUAAUUCUUCUUCCAUCUCGAAUGUGAGAAGAUUCUGCAGCUUUUCACUUUGUGCAAACAUUGCAGAGUGGGAAGCAAAGAGAUUGAAAGGCCAGUGGGAGUGAGGUGAGCGGGGAAAGUUGAUCAAGAUCUGGCUGGCAUUAGAGUUGUGAGAGGUGAUUCAGUGUCUUGUAUAUUCUUCUUAUUGUCAUAAUGACAUUUGUAGAUAUUUUGUUAACAAAUAAGAUCCAUAAAAAACCAAGUAGUGUUGAAAUA